GACUUGGCUGGGUGGUCCGCUUAACAGCGUGUACUGCUUGGCUGGGUCUUACUUCUUGGUGAGCCGGCAUGCCCUUUAUUGGUGUGUGUCGGGGAACCAGGACUUUUACCUUGAGAAAAUUAGAGUGUUCAAAGCAGGCCUAUGCCCGAAUACAUUAGCAUGGAAUAAUAAAAUAGGACU
rnacentral:rRNA from 1 species